GCUGCACGGCGCCAGCGGGCUCCCGGGAAAACAGCCGCAUCUCACGACGAGUCGGACGCUCCAAGGUGACGAGAUGUCCCCACCUACACUUGUGUAUGAUGUUCUCAAGUCCUCCAAAUUCCCGUUUCAUCCAGCUUCUGGGAGACUGCUAGGAGGAAAAACGUUUCAUGCCAAAAUCCCAUUCGCUCACUCGAAUAAAGUGGCCAUUAUCAGAGGAACGGAGCUCUGGGUGCCGAGCAAACCCCAAACGCACGGUUUUGUGUGUUCAUUGAGUUCAAAUUGACCCCUUUUCCUCUAAAGGUCCAGCAGCCUUCCACAAAUGGAUUUUUGAUCCAUUAGGAGGAAGAAAAGCAGGAGAAUGAAGGCCGUUGCUUUCAGGUUGACAGCAGGGGAAUUCUGGGAUGUGUUGCCAGGGGCGACCACAGGAUGAACUUGAGGAACGUCAGCUUCUUCCAGAACUUUGGCCGAAGUGAAGCUGAAAUAUAUCGGGUCUUUGAUUUCCAGCGACGGGAGGAAAAGAGAGCAAAACUGAAGCUUAUUUCAAUGUUCCAGAGGUUUAAAAGCUUUGCCAGCAUUUUAGGGUUUCUAUAAAUAGGUUCGAAUUAAAAAAACAACACAAACUAACAGCUGCAGACGGUCUGAGCCAAACCGUGAUGAAGGCCGUUCUCCUGUGGCAUGCUGGGAGUUUUCAGUGGAACCUGAGAGGGUGACGGGUGGACUCACACAGAACAGAGCAGAUGAGAUGAAAACAACCAACACGAGUG